GGGUACGAUCAUACCAGCACUAAUGCACCGGA
rnacentral:rRNA from 1 species